AAGUCGUAACAAGGUUUCCGUAGGUGAACCUGCGGAAGGAUCAUUAACACUGAAAUCAUUGGAUGCCAACUUUUUAAGUUGUCAUCCACAUGUCUACCCACUCUUGGACACACUCGGAGACUGCGAAAGUAGUCGCUUUUUUUCUCCCAUUUUUAAACCCAACCCCCACACCAAAAUACAUAACCAAUGCCAAUGACUGAUAUCACCAGUUUGUUAUAAAUUGUAAAACAACUCUUAACAACGGAUAUCUUGGCUCUC
rnacentral:misc_RNA from 1 species